GAAUUGUAUUACCAUGCUGCCACAAGUUCCUCAUCUCUCUCUCCAGUGAAGCUAGCCCAGCAAGAAGGGUGUCCCUUUCCUCCCUCACUGCUCCAUGUAUGUCCCUCCUGAAUCUGCGCUAGGUUGAAGAGGAUGGCCUUCCUUGAAUAGAGACUGUCUGGUCUUUGGUUAAGGGUAUGCAAGUAGUUGUGCUCCCCUGCUAGCACCUCCAAACAAGCUCUCAACAUCCAUUUAUCAUCUCUUUGAUUUGCUAAAGACUUUAUUGUUUUAGAACACUAUUUGGUUCAGAGCAAAAUUGAAAGGACAGACAGAAAAUUGUUGUUUAUGUCAGGAUCA
rfam:Erinaceus europaeus unplaced genomic scaffold scaffold00254, whole genome shotgun sequence